UGUAAAGUUCAAGCUCCGAUUAUGAGGGCGAACCGCGAAUGGCUCAUUAAAUCAGUCAUAAUCUACUUGAUUGUUUCAAGUUUAUAUGGAUAACUGUGGUAAUUCUAGAGCUAAUACAUGCACAAAAGGGGCGACUCUCCGGCAACGGGGAGAAGCUCUGCGUUUAUUAGACUAAGACCAAUGAGCUACUUCGGUAGCUCUCAAUCUAAGGUGACUCUGAGUAAAUAAUGGGUGAAAGCCCAUGUUGCUGACCUGACAUACCAAAAGGCCCUUAAAAGCCUGUCAGGCAAAUCAAUCGAGUGUCUGCUCUAUCAACUGUGGAUGGUAGGGUAAUUGCCUACCAUGGUGAUGACGGGUAACGGGGAGUUAGGGCUCGACUCCGGAGAACAAGCCUGAGAAACGGCUAGUAGGACUAAGGUCUGCAGCAGGCGCGAAACUUACACAAUGCUAGAUUAAGACAUAGCGAUGUAGUGAAGAAAAAUAACGAUGUACUUACAUUUAAACAUGUUAGUACAAUUGGAAUGAGACGACUCUAAACCAGUCAGUCGAGUAACAAAUGGAGGGCAAGUCUGGUGCCAGCAGCCGCGGUAAUUCCAGCUCCAUUAGCAUACAUUAAAGUUGUUGCGGUUAAAAAGCUCGUAGUUGAAUUUUGGGCGGGCUCUAUUGGGAUGCAAUCGUUAAGGCCUCUAUCGUUGGUUAGCCCAUGUUAGUUGGCUGGUUGUAUUUUCCCUAUAGGAACCCGUUGUUUCGUCACUUAAUCGAGUGCGAAGCGGGCUGGUACUUUAAUAGACUUCGGUUUAUAAGUAACAGCAUGUUUACCUUGAGAAAAUUAGAGUGCUCACAGCAGGCAGUUGGGGUGUAAAAGCUCCUUUAUGCUUGAAUAAUGUUGCAUGGAAUAAUAGAAUACGGCCUCGGUUCUAUUCUGUUGGUCUUAUAGAACAACAAAAAAGUUGAUUAAAGCGAUCAAAAGUCCUUUUUGAGUGUGGCUUUGUACUGUUUAAGUGUACCAAAUCAAACAGGUAUCGUUGUCUGGGGCCUCAAAAUCUCAGUACCCUGCCUGUUCUGAACCUUGGUCCUUAUGCUUGCACUGUCAUCCAAAGCACUCAUAAUGUGGCUAGCUUUCUAAUCAACUGAGGCAAUGGUUAAAAGAAAUAGUCGCGGCGGCAUCAGUACUGCAUCGUGAGAGGUGAAAUUCUUAGACCGAUGCAAGACUAACUGAAGCGAAAGCGUUUGCCGAGGAUAUUUUCAUUAAUCAAGAACGAAAGUUAGAGGUUCGAAGGCGAUCAGAUACCGCCCUAGUUCUAACCAUAAACGUUGCCAACUAGCAAUUGGGUUGCGAUUCCUUUAAUCGAAGCCUAAAAAACUUCGAUCAUUAUGAUCCACCCAGCGGCUCUCGUAGGGAAACCAAAGUGUUUGGGUUCCGGGGGAAGUAUGAUUGCAAAGUUGAAACUUAAAGGAAUUGACGGAAGGGCACCACCAGGAGUGGAGCCUGCGGCUUAAUUUGACUCAACACGGGGAAACUUACUAGAUUAGAACUCUGGAAUGAUUGACAGAUUGAUAGCUCUUUCUUGAUUCAGAGGAUGGUGGUGCAUGGCCGUUCUUGAUUCGUAUUCCGAAACGUCUGCUUAAUUGCGAUAACGAGUGAGACCUCACCCAACUAACUAGUCGUUUGGUGCGCUGUGGAACGUAAAAGUCAGCGUAAGUUCAGGUUAUGAGUGCGGGGCAACUCGUGCUUAUGGCUCCUUGCGUCUGAUGUUCUCUGCUCGCCAGCGGACUUCUUAGAGGGAUAAACGGUGUUUUAGCCGUAAGAAACGAG
rnacentral:rRNA from 1 species